UUUAAAUAUAUUUGUGAAAUUUUUGUUAAACGUUUGUAUGUCUGUCUGAUUUAUUUUUUUUAUGAUUAAUAUUUUUAUUGUUAUUAUACGAUAAAAACAUAAAUAAUACUUUAUGUAUGACUUUUUUUAUUUUUUUAUAAAAUUUUUAAAUAAGAUGGACGGUCAAAUGUUGAAUACAGAAAUCCAUAAAUACACUUGAA
rnacentral:pre_miRNA from 1 species